rnacentral:lncRNA from 1 species
UUCAGUCGUAGAAACUUACUUCCGUUGUUUAGUUCACCGUAACUUCACUUUUGGUUGAAACUCAAACUCUAAGGAAAAAAAAUAUCGUAAUUACCGUCGGCCCAUUUUAGACCGUAGUCAAUUAUAGCAAAAAGUUAAAAAAAUAAAAUAAUAAUCCAUCUCUCACAACUCAAUUCAACGACUUUUAUAAUAUUCAUUUUCUGCCGAAGAAAAAAAUAGAAUUUAAAAAAUUUCAAUC